CAAAUGACUCGCGGCAAUGGAUAUCUCGGCUCUUGCAUCGAUGAAGAACGUAGUGAAAUGCGAUACUUGGUGUGAAUUGCAGAAUCUCGUGAACCAUUGAGUCUUUGAACGCAAGUUGUGCCCGAGGCCUUGUGGCCGAGGGCACGCCUGCUUGGGCGUCAUGG
rnacentral:rRNA from 1 species